GAGAGUGGGCAGGAGGUAGGUGAGGACAUGGGACAAGAAGAGAAUACUGACACUUAGAUCGCUACUACCGGGAAGGUUUUGGAUUUCCUAGACUGGAUAAGGAAUGAAGCUAACGUGAAGAACAAAAGGAAAUCAUUUCUUAUUCUGGACACGUGAAGAAGGACUCAGCUAUUCACAGACGUGCUUUUCUGUGCAAGGUUUUCUGCGCAGGCUCCACACUCUGCACGGGGGAGUCUCAGAGUCAUUUCGGCUAGAAUUCAGCUGUGCACUCACAAUAAGGCCGUGAUGGGCCAGACUUGAUACAGUGAUCCUGGUGGAAUUGAACUCACGACCUUGCGCUUGCCAGUGCCCAACCCUCUCCCUGUCUGCCACAACAAGAAAAAGAUCUGCAAAAUUAGCUGGUGUCUGAAAUUCCUUUCUUGGGAAACCAAACUUCUGAUUGGAGAAAAGAAGUUUGCUCUGGAAAAACCUGGGUAUAGGAGAUUCAAGAACCACUGCAGUCAAAAUGUGGCCAAAGGGUCGGAGUUCUCUGAGUAAAGAAGAAGAGUACUCCUGACCCUGAGGAUUCGAGACCAUGAUGAGUAGGAAGAUGGCAAGAAGCUCAGCGGGUGUGAAGAAUUAAGAGCAGGAAAUGCCAGGAUUAUCACAUUUGGAGGUGUUUUGUGUGCCAUUGUAAGGAAUGCCUCUGUCCUUUCCGUCCCAUCUUCCUUAUAAA